rnacentral:rRNA from 1 species
UCAAGCGCGAGAAGGGCGUUUGGUGGAUGCCUUGGCAGUAAGAGGCGAUGAAGGACGUGAUACUCUGCGAUAAGUCCUGGGGAGCUGAGAAUAAGCUUUGAUCCAGGAAUUUCCGAAUGGGGCAACCCACCUGAAAGCUCGUUAUAAUUGCUGACGUCGGACUCGUCCGACGAAAGCAGCCUAUAACGGGUUUAAACAGGUACUUUUGACCUGAAUACAUAGGGUCUUAAGAGCAAACCCGGGGAACUGAAACAUCUAAGUACCCGGAGGAAAGGACAUCAAUAGAGACUCCCCUAGUAGCGGCGAGCGAACGGGGACCAGCCGAGUCCUGAGAGUGACCAGAAUGAUCUGGAAAGAUCAGCCAUAGCGGGUGACAGCCCCGUAUGGGAAGCUCAAUGGAACGUAUCAAGUAGGGCGGGACACGUGAAAUCCUGUUCGAAGAUCGGAGGACCACCUCCGAAGGCUAAGUACUCCUUACUGACCGAUAGCGAACCAGUACCGUGAGGGAAAGGUGAAAAGCACCCCGACGAGGGGAGUGAAACAGUACCUGAAACCGGACGCCUACAAUCAGUCGGAGCCUCCUUGCGAGGUGACGGCGUACCUUUUGUAUAAUGGGUCAUCGACUUGGUCUAUCUAGCAAGCUUAAGCCGUUAGGUGUAGGCGCAGCGAAAGCGAGUCUUAAUAGGGCGUUGAGUUAGAUGGAUCAGACCCGAAACCGAGUGAUCUAGGCAUGACCAGGAUGAAGAUACGGUAACACGUAUUGGAGGUCCGAACCCACACCUGUUGAAAAAGGUCGGGAUGAGUUGUGCCUAGGGGUGAAAGGCCAAUCAAACUCGGAGAUAGCUGGUUCUCCGCGAAAUCUAUUUAGGUAGAGCGUCAUCCGAAUACCCCUGGGGGUAGAGCACUGGAUGGGUAAUGGGGCCCCACAGGCUUACUGAUCCUAACCAAACUCCGAAUACCAGGGAGUACUAGAUGGCAGACACACGGCGGGUGCUAACGCCCGUCGUGAAGAGGGAAACAACCCUGACCUCCGGCUAAGGCCCCCAAUUCAUGGCUAAGUGGGAAAGCAAGUGGGACGACCAAAACAACCAGGAGGUUGGCUUAGAAGCAGCCAUCCUUUAAAGAUAGCGUAACAGCUCACUGGUCUAAUCAAGUUGUCCUGCGGCGAAGAUGUAACGGGGCUCAAGCCAUGAGCCGAAGCCGAGGAUGCGCAUAGCGCAUGGUAGCGGAGCGUAGUGUGACAUAGGA